CUUUGACCCCUGCUAUCCUGGAUGGCUUCUGCCUCAGUUUCCAAAACUGUGAAAUGGGAGCAGAUGGUUGCUCCUGCCUCAGGCUUCUCAAGAAGACUCCAGGAUUGGAGCUGGUUCCAGAGCUUGCUCCUGUGUAACAACUCCACAAUUCCAGAUGAUUCAACAGGAAGCUGGUCUCUAGAGUGCAUGACAGGCAUGUACCCCGAUGACCAAUGUGUGAGCUGCUAGUUGUGGAACCCUGGGCUUGUUCGUGCUAGGCAAGUACUCUGCCAACCGAGCUAUACCGGCAACUCUUUAUAUGUUUAAAAAAAAAUCAAAUCCAGACCCUUGGAACCCUGACAUACCUGUAGUUACAGCUGUAUGCUGGACAGCACUUGCUACCAGCUCCCCUGAUCCACUGUGAAGUUCAGGGUCCUCUGUGUGUGUGGGUAGACUGGGGUGGGGGAUGAAGGAGAGGAGGUCCAGUUUCUGCUUUUAUGAUGUUGCAGCCUAGCCUGGAAAGCACGGUAGUUGGGGACAGUGCUGGGCUGGCCAUCACCUGAGCGAUGCCCAUCUGGGAAGGCCAUGGGGCGUGGAAUGUAGCUUUUAAGCCAUGAGCUGCUCAGGGGCAUGAUCA
rnacentral:lncRNA from 1 species